rnacentral:tRNA from 1 species
GCCUGGGUGGCUCAGCUGGUUAAGCAUCUGACUUCGGCUCAGGUCAUGAUCUCGCAGUCUGUGAGUUCGAGCCCCACAUCGGGCU